GACGUAGGGCGCGAGCGUUGUCCGGAUUUAUUGGGCGUAAAGAGCUCGUAGGCGGCUUGUCGCGUCGAAUGUGAAAACCCGAGGCUCAACUUCGGGCUUGCAUUCGAUACGGGCAGGCUCGAGUUCGGUAGGGGAGACUGGAAUUCCUGGUGUAGCGGUGAAAUGCGCAGAUAUCAGGAGGAACACCGGUGGCGAAGGCGGGUCUCUGGGCCGUAACUGACGCUGAGGAGCGAAAGCGUGGGGAGCGAACAGG
rnacentral:rRNA from 1 species